CUUUCCUUCUGGUUUUCGGACCAGGACGUUUACUUUGAAAAAAUUAGAGUGUUCAAAGCAGGCAAUUUGCUCGAAUAUAUUAGCAUGGAAUAAGGGAAUAGGACAAUGGUUCUAUUUCGUUGGUUUUCAGUACCAUUGUAAUGAUUAAUAGGGACGGACGGGGGCAUCAGUAUUCCGUAGUCAGAGGUGAAAUUCUUGGAUUUACGGAAGACUAACUACUGCGAAAGCAUUUGCCAAGCACGUUUUCAUUAAUCAAGAACGAAAGUUAGGGGAUCGAAGAUGAUCAGAUACCGUCGUAGUCUUAACCAUAAACUAUGCCGACUAGGGAUCGGGCGUGCUUCAAUUUGACGCGCUCGGCACCUUACGAGAAAUCAAAGUCUUUGGGUCCUGGGGGGAGUAUGGUCGCAAGGCUGAAACUUAAAGGAAUUGACGGAAGGGCACCACCAGGAGUGGAGCCUGCGGCUUAAUUUGACUCAACACGGGGAAACUCACCAGGUCCAGACACAAUAAGGAUUGACAGAUUGGGAGCUCUUUCUUGAUUUUGUGGGUGGUGGUGCAUGGCCGUUCUUAGUUGGUGGAGUGAUUUGUCUGCUUAAUUGCGAUAACGAACGAGACCUUAACUUUUAAAUAGGCACGCUAGCAUUUGCUGGUGCUGCCUUCUUAAAAGGACUAUCUAUGUCAAGUAGAUGGAAGUUUGAGGCAAUAACAGGUCUGUGAUGCCCUUAGACGUUCUGGGCCGCACGCGCGCUACACUGACGGAGCCAGCGAGUCUACCUUGGCCGAGAGGCCCGGGAAAUCUUGUGAAACUCCGUCGUGCUGGGGGUAGAGCAUUGCAAUUUUUGCUCUUCAACGAGGAAUUCCUAGUAAGCGCAAGUCAUCAGCUUGCGUCGAUUACGUCCCUGCCCUUUGUAUACACCGCCCGUCGCUACUACCGAUUGAAUGGC
rnacentral:rRNA from 1 species